rnacentral:rRNA from 1 species
UACGGAGGGGGCUAGCGUUGUUCGGAAUUACUGGGCGUAAAGCGCGCGUAGGCGGCUUUGUAAGUUAGAGGUGAAAGCCCAGGGCUCAACCCUGGAAUUGCCUUUAAGACUGCAUCGCUUGAACAUCGGAAAGGUAAGUGGAAUUCCGAGUGUAGAGGUGAAAUUCGUAGAUAUUCGGAAGAACACCAGUGGCGAAGGCGACUUACUGGACGAUUGUUGACGCUGAGGUGCGAAAGCGUGGGGAGCAAACAGG